rnacentral:rRNA from 1 species
UACGUAGGGGGCAAGGCGUUGUCCGGAUUUACUGGGCGUAAAGAGCGUGUAGGCGGCCAAACAGGUCCGUUGUGAAAACUGGAGGCUCAACUUCCAGCUGUCGACGGAAACCGUAUGGCUAGAGUCCGGAAGAGGAGAGUGGAAUUCCUGGUGUAGCGGUGAAAUGCGCAGAUAUCAGGAAGAACACCAAUGGCGAAGGCAGCUCUCUGGGACGGUACUGACGCUGAGACGCGAAAGCGUGGGGAGCGAACAGG